rnacentral:rRNA from 1 species
GACAGAGGGGGCUAGCGUUGUUCGGAAUUACUGGGCGUAAAGCGCACGUAGGCGGAUUUGUAAGUCAGGGGUGAAAUCCCGGGGCUCAACCUCGGAACUGCCUUUGAUACUGCAAAUCUCGAGUCCGGAAGAGGUGAGUGGAAUUCCUAGUGUAGAGGUGAAAUUCGUAGAUAUUAGGAAGAACACCAGUGGCGAAGGCGGCUCACUGGUCCGGUACUGACGCUGAGGUGCGAAAGCGUGGGGAGCAAACAGG